AUACGUAGGGGGCGAGCGUUGUCCGGAAUGAUUGGGCGUAAAGGGCGCGUAGGCGGCCCGGUAAGUCUGGAGUGAAAGUCCUGCUUUUAAGGUGGGAAUUGCUUUGGAUACUGUCGGGCUUGAGUGCAGGAGAGGUAAUGAGAAUUCCCGGUGUAGCGGUGAAAUGCGCAGAGAUCGGGAGGAAUACCGGUGGCGAAGGCGAAUUACUGGACGAUAACUGACGCUGAGACACGAAAGCGUGGGGAGCAAACAGGAUUAGAUACCCUGGUAGUCCACGCCCUAAACGAUGAAUGCUAGGUGUAGGGGAGUCAUCUUCUGUGCCGCAGCUAACGCAAUAAGCAUUCCACCUGGGGAGUACGGCCGCAAAGUUGAAACUCAAAGGAAUUGACGGGG
rnacentral:rRNA from 1 species